CACCUACCACCCUUAUCCCUUGCUUCAACGGAUCAGAACUGUAACAGUCCGCGGAUCAAGCUUCCCAACCAUCUGCCUCUUCCCAACGCUCGAAUCAAAUCUUCUAUGCGUCGCCCGCUGCCGUGGAACAGAAGCCGUUCCUCCAUCCUCAUCUUUUCACUGGGGAAGCUUAUCCUCCGGAUGCUAACAGAGGAUAGGAAAGCUAUAAAAGGAAGGGAGUUCUCUUCUCCGGGAUUCAUUCUUCUCUUCCAUUCAUUCCUCCCCCACCGGGGGGGGGGGGGCAUUCCCUCUUCCCCCACCGGGGGU
rnacentral:lncRNA from 1 species